ACUGCUAAACAAUAGUGACUUUACAGCAUUUGACAAUGGUCAUAAAUUUCUUGCCGAAGAAUGAUGUGACAAAGUUAAACGUCAUUACAUCGAAAAAAAGCUGCAAAAAUAGGCGAGUAGUUGUGAACUGUCCUAUGGAACAUCAAAUAUUUAGCUCAUUCAGAGUUAUAGACCAAUGUCUGUUUUCCCUCUCUGGGGGGAAUACUAUAAAAAAAACGAGGGUUUCAGGUUGGGGCGGUCGGGGUGUAAGAGUGAUUUUCCACCCGUGAGAGCGCCUCUUGUGGGUGUGUUGGUUCAUUCCACGCAGAGACUCAUUUGUAGCAAAAUGGCACUCGCUGACCCAUGGAACAUCAAAUAUUUAGCUCAUUUUCAGUAUUUUUAAAACAGCCAAGUAAUGCUGUCAUAUCUAAUUUGCCAUGUCUGAAUAAAUAAUGUUGUCUGAACACUGUCUAGUUCUUUAGAUUUGAUUGAUUGUAUAAUUGAUUUUACAUUUUAGGAAAUAGAAGGUCGGUCGUUGGACAACCACCCAUUGUUUUCAUGGCCGCUAGGCGCUAGGUGACCUUCACUUGCUCUUCCGGUUGGAUCUUAUCAACUCGGAUGGGCUACAACGCCAUAGCUUUCUCCGAACCCUCAAAUGACAGUUGCUAGGGAAUGGUCGUGUCUGCUUGUUCUUUGUUGAUUUCCAACUGACAUUGCGUUCUGUUAUUGCCUUAUAAAUCAAGCCAAAGUAGUUGAGUUAGGGUGUUUCAUUCAGAAAGAAUCAUGGCAGAUGAGGUAAAAAAACCAGAUCUAGCCGUAACAAGUGAACCUCAGCCGGUUAAAGAAGUAACUGUACAGGCAUCUCCUGAACAGACAACCGUCUGUGAAUGUCUUUACUGGCUGGGUCUCUAUUAUGCACUGUGUAACUGCUGGGAACUUUGCGUAGACUGUUGUGUUUGCUGUGCCAACGGCUGCUCCACAUAGUUUGCAGAUUUCUCAGGUAUGGAUAGACAGCCAUUGGAUAUAACAACAGGUGUCUUUUGGAAGAGACUUCUUCUAUUGUUUCCAGUUAAUAGAUUCUAUCUGUGACAUUUCAUUGGAAAAGACAACUCGUUCAGCCAGUGUGAUGAUGCCAAACAGCAUGCACUCUUUCCUUUGCCACAAUUGUUAUAGAUGUUUUAAAAAUUCUUCAUUACUUAUUUCAUGUUUUUACACCAUCUAAAAAAAAGCAAACAAACGAAUUGAAUUUCCGAAAAAUUUUGCAUGUGUUAUAUCUUGGCAUGAAAUAAACAGUUAAAAUUUUUA